rnacentral:rRNA from 1 species
AUUGAACGCUGGCGGCAUGCUUUACACAUGCAAGUCGAACGGUAACAGGCCUUCGGGUGCUGACGAGUGGCGAACGGGUGAGUAAUGCAUCGGAACGUGCCCAGAGGUGGGGGAUAACGCAGCGAAAGCUGUGCUAAUACCGCAUGUGAUCUGAGGAUGAAAGCGGGGGACCAGGCAGCAAUGUUUGGCCUCGCGCCUUUGGAGCGGCCGAUGACAGAUUAGGUAGUUGGUGGGGUAAAGGCCUACCAAGCCGACGAUCUGUAGCUGGUCUGAGAGGACGACCAGCCACACUGGGACUGAGACACGGCCCAGACUCCUACGGGAGGCAGCAGUGGGGAAUUUUGGACAAUGGGCGCAAGCCUGAUCCAGCAAUGCCGCGUGCGGGAAGAAGGCCUUCGGGUUGUAAACCGCUUUUGUACGGAACGAAAAGGCUCUGGCUAAUACCUGGGGCUGAUGACGGUACCGUAAGAAUAAGCACCGGCUAACUACGUG